rnacentral:rRNA from 1 species
AGAGCGAACGCUGGCGGCAGGCCUAACACAUGCAAGUCGAGCGCUCGUAGCAAUACGAGAGCGGCAGACGGGAGAGUAACACGUGGGAACGUACCCUUUGGUUCGGAACAACACAGGGAAACUUGUGCUAAUACCGAAUAAGCCCUUACGGGGAAAGAUUUAUCGCCAAAGGAUCGGCCCGCGUCUGAUUAGCUAGUUGGUGGGGUAAUGGCUCACCAAGGCGACGAUCAGUAGCUGGUCUGAGAGGAUGACCAGCCUCAUUGGGACUGAGACACGGCCCAAACUCCUACGGGAGGCAGCAGUGGGGAAUAUUGGACAAUGGGCGCAAGCCUGAUCCAGCCAUGCCGCGUGGAUGAUGAAGGCCUUAGGUUGUAAAGUCCUUUUAACGGGGAGAUAAUGACGGUACCGUAGAAUAAGCCCGGCUAACUUCGUGCCAGCAGCCGC